CAGCAGCCGCGGUAAUACGUAGGUGGCAAGCGUUGUCCGGAAUUAUUGGGCGUAAAGGGCUCGCAGGCGGUUUCUUAAGUCUGAUGUGAAAGCCCCCGGCUCAACCGGGGAGGGUCAUUGGAAACUGGGAAACUUGAGUGCAGAAGAGGAGAGUAGAGUUCCACGUGUAGCGGUGAAAUGCGUAGAGAUGUGGAGGAACACCAGUGGCGAAGGCGACUCUCUGGUCUGUAACUGACGCUGAGGAGCGAAAGCGUGGGGAGCGAACAGGAUUAGAUACCCCUGUAGUCCCUGUCUCUUAUAC
rnacentral:rRNA from 1 species